rnacentral:rRNA from 1 species
UAGGGAAUCUUCGGCAAUGGACGGAAGUCUGACCGAGCAACGCCGCGUGAGUGAAGAAGGUUUUCGGAUCGUAAAGCUCUGUUGUAAGAGAAGAACGAGUGUGAGAGUGGAAAGUUCACACUGUGACGGUAUCUUACCAGAAAGGGACGGCUAACUACGUGCCAGCAGCCGCGGUAAUACGUAGGUCCCGAGCGUUGUCCGGAUUUAUUGGGCGUAAAGCGAGCGCAGGCGGUUAGAUAAGUCUGAAGUUAAAGGCUGUGGCUUAACCAUAGUAGGCUUUGGAAACUGUUUAACUUGAGUGCAAGAGGGGAGAGUGGAAUUCCAUGUGUAGCGGUGAAAUGCGUAGAUAUAUGGAGGAACACCGGUGGUGAAAGCGGCUCUCUGGCUUGUAACUGACGCUGAGGCUCGAAAGCGUGGGGAGCAAACAGGAUUAGAUACCCUGGUAGUCCACGCUGUAAACGAUGAGUGCUAGGUGUUAGACCCUUUCCGGGGUUUAGUGCCGUAGCUAACGCAUUAAGCACUCCGCCUGGGGUGUACGACCGCAAGGUUG